rnacentral:misc_RNA from 1 species
UUUCCGUAGGUGAACCUGCGGAAGGAUCAUUACCGAGCGCGGCCCCUUCGGGGUGCCAACCUCCCACCCGUGACUACCGUACCACGUUGCUUCGGCGGGCCCGCCCCCCUGUUCGGGGGGGCCGUCGGGGGGCACCUGCCCCCGGGCGUGCGCCCGCCGGGGACACCAAUACGAACGCUGUCUGAAGGACUGCUGUCUGAGUAGGAUUUAUAAUCAGUCAAAACUUUCAACAACGGAUCUCUUGGUUCCG